CAUCACGGAUAAUCGCGCAGCUCCUUGUGAGCUGUGAGGAAAGUCCAUGCUCACACAGGCUGCGAUGCCUGUAGUGUUCGUGCGCAGCGAAACAAUAAGCUGCGGCUCUCAAGUGAUUGAGAUGACGGCAGGAAAAAGAGCUACGGGGAGACCUAUGCUUGAGUACCCUUGAAAGUGCCACAGUGACGAAGCAGACGGGGAAACGCGUCUGGUGGAACGCGGUAAACCCCUCGAGUGAGCAACCCAAACUUAUGGUAGGGGCACUUUUCUCCUGGAAUUGAACAGAGAGAAGAGGCCGGGCUGAUUAUGCCCGAGCAGACAGAUGGUUAUCUCUGAGUGGACUUCACCGUCCAUUCUAGACAGAACAUGGCUUACAGUG
rnacentral:RNase_P_RNA from 1 species